rnacentral:rRNA from 1 species
AGAGUUUGAUCCUGGCUCAGAUUGAACGCUGGCGGCAUGCCUAACACAUGCAAGUCGAACGGAAACGAUGGGAGCUUGCUCCCAGGCGUCGAGUGGCGGACGGGUGAGUAAUACUUAGGAAUCUACCCAGUAGCGGGGGACAACUCGAGGAAACUCGAGCUAAUACCGCAUACGCCCUACGGGGGAAAGCAGGGGAUCUUCGGACCUUGCACUAUUGGAUGAGCCUAAGUCGGAUUAGCUUGUUGGUGAGGUAAAGGCUCACCAAGGCGACGAUCCGUAGCUGGUCUGAGAGGACGAUCAGCCACACUGGGACUGAGACACGGCCCAGACUCCUACGGGAGGCAGCAGUGGGGAAUAUUGGACAAUGGGGGCAACCCUGAUCCAGCAAUGCCGCGUGUGUGAAGAAGGCCUGCGGGUUGUAAAGCACUUUCAGUAGAGAAGAAAAGCCCACGGCUAAUACCCGUGAGUCUUGACGUUACCUACAGAAGAAGCUCCGGCUAACUCCGUGCCAGCAGCCGCGGUAAUACGGAGGGAGCGAGCGUUAAUCGGAAUUACUGGGCGUAAAGCGCGCGUAGGCGGCUUUGUAAGUCGGAUGUGAAAGCCCUGGGCUCAACCUGGGAAUGGCAUUCGAUACUGCAGAGCUAGAGUAUGGUUAGAGGGAAGUGGUAAUUUCCGGUGUAGCGGUGAAAUGCGUAGAUA